rnacentral:rRNA from 1 species
CCUACGGGAGGCAGCAGUAAGGAAUAUUGGUCAAUGGGCGCAAGCCUGAACCAGCCAUGCCGCGUGCAGGAAGACGGCCCUACGGGUUGUAAACUGCUUUUGUACCGGAAUAAACCCCCGAUCGUGAUCGGGGCUGAAUGUACGGUAAGAAUAAGGAUCGGCUAACUCCGUGCCAGCAGCCGCGGUAAUACGGAGGAUCCAAGCGUUAUCCGGAUUUAUUGGGUUUAAAGGGUGCGUAGGCGGCCUGUUAAGUCAGGGGUGAAAGACGGUAGCUUAACUAUCGCAGUGCCUUUGAUACUGACGGGCUUGAAUGUACUUGAGGUAGGCGGAAUGUGACAAGUAGCGGUGAAAUGCAUAGAUAUGUCACAGAACACCAAUUGCGAAGGCAGCUUACUAAAGUAUGAUUGACGCUGAGGCACGAAAGCGUGGGGAUCAAACAGGAUUAGAUACCCUGGUAGUCCACGCCCUAAACGAUGAAUACUCGAUGUUGGCGAUAUACGGCCAGCGUCUAAGCGAAAGCGUUAAGUAUUCCACCUGGGGAGUACGCCCGCAAGGGUGAACUCAAAUGAAUUGACCGGNGUGAGAGNGCGACGACGACGACGAGGGAGGAGG